UGUGGGAGUUCCGUCGUACGUGGCCCCAGGGGCGCCUGGGAAAUAUCCUGUGCGCGUCUCUAUUAUGAUCGAGUGUAAAUGAGGGCCGCCGGCAGGCUGGAAACUAGCUACUGCGGUCGCAGUUGCUCUCUGAAGCCGCAAGGUAGGGGCGAUCGGCUGCCGCUGCCAGGAGAGCGGACGAUGCGGAGAUCCCUGAGCAAUCAUCUAAGAAGUCUGAUCACCUGAAUAGACCACAUGGAGAGACUGUGGGAGCACAUGAAGAGAGGUGGGCAGGGGGAACCCAGCUGCAUCCAACAAUCCAGAAAUCCCUAACAAGAUGCUAGACAUGAAGGAAACCAUCUUGGAUCCACCAGAUCAACCUAGCCACCAGCUGGAUACCACUGAGAGAUGCCAGUGGAGCAGAAUUGUCCAAUAAGCCUUGCCCAAAUUUCUCACCCACACAAUUAUGAGUAUAAUAAAAUGAUUAUUGUUUUCAGCCCCAA